GACGAACGCUGGCUGCGUGCCUAAUACAUGCAAGUAGGACGCAGUUGCGAACGGGUGAGUAACGCGUAGGUAACUGCCUAUUAGUGGGGGAUAACUAUUUGAAGCGAUAGCUAAUACCGCAUACUAGUUGACGGACCUGCGUUUUAUUAGCUAGUAGGUAGGGUAAUGGCCUACCUAGGCGACGAUACCUAGCCGACAUGAGAGGGUGAUCGGCCACGCUGGAACUUAGACACGAGCGAGACUACUACGGGAGGCAGCAGUAAGGAAUCUACUGGAAUGGGGGGAACACUGACCGAGCAACGCAGCGUGAGUGAAGAGUGUUUGCGGAUCGGAAAGCUCUGUUGGUAAGGAAGAGGUACUUAACCAUAAAGGGACGGCUAACUACGUGCCAGCAGCCGCGGUAAUAC
rnacentral:rRNA from 1 species